CACGCCAGCAGCACAAUGAUGAUGUCUCUGACUCUACUGCUGGCCACCCUGGGGCUCCUUGUUCAGGGUUCAUCAGGAGAUAUCACUGUGUCUCAGUCUCCUGAAUCUCAGUCUGUUGUUCCAGGCCAGACUGUCUCUAUCAAAUGUAAAGCCAGUAGAUCUAUAGGUGAUGACAUCAACUGGUACCUUCAGAAACCUGGGGAAGCUCCAAUACUCUUGAUUUAUGAUACUACAAAUCGUCAGUCUGGAGUUUCCAAUCGAUUUAGUGCAACAGCACAUCAGACUGACUUCACUCUGACCAUCAGCAGAGUCCAGGCUAAAGAUGCAGGAGUUUAUUAUUGUCAGCAGGAUAACAGCCGCCCGUUCACACAGUGAUACAAUGUCGUACAAAAACCUCCCUCAGCUGCAGAGGAACUGAUCUGAAUCAACAGCUGCACAAACACAGACACAUUUUAGACGAAUGACUGACAGUGAAGUCCACACAACAGAUCACUGUCAGGAAACACUGUUUAUAGUUUAAGUUUUAUCUGAUUUAGU